rnacentral:rRNA from 1 species
AUUGAACGCUGGCGGCAUGCCUUACACAUGCAAGCCGAACGGUAACAGGUCUUCGGAUGCUGACGAGUGGCGAACGGGUGAGUAAUACAUCGGAACGUGCCCGAUCGUGGGGGAUAACGAAGCGAAAGCUUUGCUAAUACCGCAUACGAUCUACGGAUGAAAGCAGGGGACCGCAAGGCCUUGCGCGAACGGAGCGGCCGAUGGCAGAUUAGGUAGUUGGUGGGAUAAAAGCUUACCAAGCCGACGAUCUGGAGCUGGUCUGAGAGGACGACCAGCCACACUGGGACUGGGACACGGCCCAGACUCCUACGGGAGGCAGCAGUGGGGAAUUUUGGACAAUGGGCGAAAGCCUGAUUCAGCCAUGCCGCGUGCAGGAUGAAGGCCUUCGGGUUGUAAACUGCUUUUGUACGGAACGAAAAGACUCUGGUUAAUACCUGGGGUCCAUGACGGUACCGUAAGAAUAAGCACCGGCUAACUACGUGCCAGCCGCCGCAGUAA